rnacentral:rRNA from 1 species
CACGUAGGGUGCGAGCGUUGUCCGGAAUUAUUGGGCGUAAAGAGCUCGUAGGCGGUGUGUCGCGUCGGCCGUGAAAACCUGCAGCUUAACUGUGGGCUUGCGGUCGAUACGGGCAUCACUGGAGUUCGGCAGGGGAGACUGGAAUUCCUGGUGUAGCGGUGAAAUGCGAAGAUAUCAGGAGGAACACCGGUGGCGAAGGCGGGUCUCUGGGCCGAUACUGACGCUGAGGAGCGAAAGCGUGGGGAGCGAACAGG